CCUAUGAAGCUUUACUGUAACUUGAAAUUGAAAUUGGACUUUAUUUGCGCAGUAUAGGUGGGAGGCGCUGAAACUAGUCUUGCGGGACUAUUGGAGCCAUCAGUGAGAUACCACUCUUGUAAUGUUAGAUUUCUAACUUUGGAUCAUUAUCUGGUCAAAGAACAGUUUCAGGCGGGCAGUUUGACUGGGGCGGUCGCCUCCCAAAUGGUAACGGAGGCGUACAAAGGUUUCCUCUGAACGUGUAGAAAUCGUAUCUAGAGUGUAAAGGCAUAAGGAAGCUUGACUGUGAGACCUACAAGUCGAGCAGGGACGAAAGUCGGUCUUAGUGAUCUGACGGUACUGAGUGGAAAGG
rnacentral:rRNA from 1 species